UGUUUCGGCUAGGGGGUCAUCCCGACUUACCAACCCGAUGCAAACUACGAAUACCGAAGAAUGUUAUCACGGGAGACACACGGCGGGUGCUAACGUCCGUCGUGAAGAGGGAAACAACCCAGACCGCCAGCUAAGGUCCCAAAGUCAUGGUUAAGUGGGAAACGAUGUGGGAAGGCACAGACAGCCAGGAUGUUGGCUUAGAAGCAGCCAUCAUUUAAAGAAAGCGUAAUAGCUCACUGGUCGAGUCGGCCUGCGCGGAAGAUGUAACGGGGCUAAACCAUGCACCGAAGCUGCGGCAGCGACACUAUGUGUUGUUGGGUAGGGGAGCGUUCUGUAAGCCUGCGAAGGUGUGCUGUGAGGCAUGCUGGAGGUAUCAGAAGUGCGAAUGCUGACAUAAGUAACGAUAAAGCGGGUGAAAAGCCCGCUCGCCGGAAGACCAAGGGUUCCUGUCCAACGUUAAUCGGGGCAGGGUGAGUCGACCCCUAAGGCGAGGCCGAAAGGCGUAGUCGAUGGGAAACAGGUUAAUAUUCCUGUACUUGGUGUUACUGCGAAGGGGGGACGGAGAAGGCUAUGUUAGCCGGGCGACGGUUGUCCCGGUUUAAGCAUGUAGGCUGGUUAUCCAGGCAAAUCCGGAUAAUCAAGGCUGAGGUGUGAUGACGAGGCACUACGGUGCUGAAGUAACAAAUGCCCUGCUUCCAGGAAAAGCCUCUAAGCAUCAGGUAACAU
rnacentral:rRNA from 1 species